rnacentral:rRNA from 1 species
GAUGAACGCUAGCGGCAGGCUUAAUACAUGCAAGUCGAGGGGCAGCAUGAUUGUAGCAAUACAAUUGAUGGCGACCGGCAAACGGGUGCGGAACACGUACACAACCUUCCAACAAGUGGGGGAUAGCCCAGAGAAAUUUGGAUUAAUACCCCGUAACAUAGCGAUGUGGCAUCACAUUGCUAUUAUAGAUUUUUCGCUUGUUGAUGGGUGUGCGGCUGAUUAGAUAGUUGGCGGGGUAACGGCCCACCAAGUCUACGAUCAGUAGCUGAUGUGAGAGCAUGAUCAGCCACACGGGCACUGAGACACGGGCCCGACUCCUACGGGAGGCAGCAGUAAGGAAUAUUGGACAAUGGACGCAAGUCUGAUCCAGCCAUGCCGCGUGAAGGAUUAAGGUCCUCUGGAUUGUAAACUUCUUUUAUAAGGGACGAAACCCCUGUUUCUACGGGGACUGACGGUACCAGAGGAAUAAGCACCGGCUAACUCCGUGCCAGCAGCCGCCGAAAAAC